UUACAAGUUUUUGCUUACCGU
rnacentral:piRNA from 1 species